UUUUUUUUUUUUCUUUUAAGGGCCAAACCCCUCGGCACAUGGAAGUUCCCAGGCCAGGGCUUGAAUUGGAGCCACAUGCCAGCCUACACCACAGCCACAGCAACGCCAGAUCCAAGCUGUGUCUAUGACCUACACCACAGCUUGUGGCAAUGUCGGACUCUUAGCCCACUGAGCAAGGCCCGGGAUUGAACCCACAACCUCAUGGAUACUAACUGGGUUUGUUUCUGCUGAGCCACAACAGGAACUCCAAAAGAUGAAGUUACUUAACACAUGGAAACUGAUAAUGAUAGAGCAACAGCAAUGAUGCCUAAACCUGUAUUAGAAAUGAAAAUUUAUGUACAGGAAAAAAAAAAAAGACUGAAAGGAAAUAUUUUAAAAUCCUAAACGUUUUAGGUGAGAGUCAUGGAAGGAAAAGAAUUUUUUUUUCCUUUCCCUUCUAUUUGCUAAUGUCUAGAGUAUAUGUGUUAUUUUUAUAAUGAGCAAAACUAUGGAUUCGGAAUAAGUAACUCUAUUCUUGAUUGGCCAGUGGUUCCUGAACUUCAGCGUUGACAAGAAUCACCCAGGACUCUUGAUGCACACGCAGAUUGCUGAGCUGCAGCCCCAGAAACUCUCAUUCAGUGGGCUCGCAGUCUCCCAGUAACUCAGGAACUAUGUUUUGAGAAACUGUUAUCAUGAACUUCAGACAGUAAUGACUAUUGCGCCUACAUAAAAACGUUCACACUGAGCUUCUCUCGGGUCCUGGGGGCUCCCGAGGGUGAAGAAGAGUCCAAGUAAACAGAAGAUGGGAGGUUGGCAGCUUCUCACUGAAAACAAUGCCCUCCACUCCGAUCUGUUGCACAUGUUAGAUGUGGGCUAAAUAUUUAUAUUUUUUAAAAAAAAGAUGCUGAAGUAUGACUGGGUCACUUUGCUGUACAGCAGAAAUUAACACAACAUUGUAAAUCAACUAUAAUACAAAUUUUUUAAUUAAAAUAAAAAAGAUUCGGUAUCAACAAACCCAAAUCAAAAACUUUAAAAACCAUUUAACUCUAUUUGCAGGAGUUCAGAAUUUUUUGCAUAUAACUUUGGGUUCAGAGAAGCCUGCCCAAGUUUUUUGUGUGCGUGCGUGCGUGGUUUUGUUUUUCAUUAAGACGUGUAAGGAGCUCCCAUUGUAGCUCAGUCGUAACAAACCCAACUAGUAUCCACGAGGACAUGGGUUCGAUCCCUGGCCUCGCUCAGCGGGUUCAGGAUCUGGUAUUGCUGUGAGCUAUGGUGUAGGUCGCAGUUGUAGCUCAGAGCUGGCAUUGCUAUGGCUGUGGCGUAGGCCGGCAGCUGCAGCUCCGAUUCGACCACUAGCCUGGUAAGUUCCUCAUGCCACCGGUAUGGCCCUAAAAAGAAAAAAAAAAAAUGAAAAGAAUUUUAAGACAGGUGGAUUUUAAAGAUGGUGGUGACAGACAGGGUUGUUUCUAUUUUUCCCCUACGGGGUUGAUACUGGUUUUGCCUGAGCUGGAAGUGUCUUCUAAAUUUCUCAUCAUUUCAUCCCAGAUUCAUGCCAGCAAACGGCUACACAUAUUCUGGUUCUAAAGACGUGCAUUUGAAAACGAGAAAUCAAAGACUCAGCAUGUGCUAAAUACUAGGAUUAUGUUGUAAGAUAAAUAUACUCGCGGACUCAAAGACUUGCUCCACGACUUAAAAGGAGAGGCUGUUAUUGGCCCCAUGACGAUGAUGAGCAGAAGCUUAGGUAAUUUCCACCACUAAUAAUCACAGCUUUAAUAAUAAGAAUACUCACUAUUUGCAAAAGCACUUUAAGAAAUUAAAAAAUGUUCAACUUGAGAAAAGCAUGUCAUAAUUACUUAGAUUAUUGAGGUCUGAAUGAAUGGUGUGGCUUUCCCCGGCCCAGAAGGAUGCUUACUCUCUUGCCUUGAAUUCUCAGGUCUAUAUUGCAGGAGAGCAACAGCAAGACACAUCCCAACAGAACAUUCUCCAUACAGAGGCCUUGUUUCUGCAGGAAGCAGAGUGGCUUUGCAGAAAAGUCAACCCAGGGCCUCUAAGAGAGUUGGGAAAAUACAUGACCAAUGAGUUUAUGGGAAAAAAAGAAGGAAUGAGUGAAUGCAUGAACCGGUACAAGUGAGCAGGUCCGAGGGAGGCUCAGCUACCAUCCCACCCAGGGAGACCAUGUGGGAGACCGCGCAGGGCUGGGGCUGCAGGCCUCUGACCACUGUCACUAGGGAAGGAGACCUCCCACCAGCACACCAGUCCCUGGGCGGAAUCCGGUUGAACGCCCACCCCUUGAAAGGUUAACACGCAUUUUUUUUCAGGCCAAGAGAUUGAUGACGUGGAGCAAUCAAGGGACUUAUGUUGACGAAGUGAAGGGAACCGCGAGGCUGGGGGCCAAGACAGACCCAAGAGUGGUGGAGGAAAACCAGCAGCGGGUUACCAGAUGCAAGCUGAGCCUGCUGCGGGGUAGGAGGGUGGCAGAGGGCCAGCCAGGCCCUUCUUGGGUCUUCAAGGACCUGAACCAGCUCGCUUCUAAUAAACGAGGGGAGACAGAGCACUCAAAAGCCCAUGUUUAAAACCAGAGAGAAAAUAAGAUGAAACUAGGUUUGAACCCAGGGAAAUAUGCUGAACCCCCUUGGGUAACGGGGCUCUGAGAGGUGAGGGGGAGGGACCCCAUACCCCCUUUUGGUGCUCUGCGCCCUUGCCAAUGGUCGAAACCGCUUUCCAGCUUCCUCUAACAAAGGCACCGAUUCCAAACCCUAAAACCGUGUUCUCCGAGUUAAGAAGAAAGGGGGGUGGUCAGGCUGUCCAAAUGCACGGAGGAAGUAAGAGUUAGUACGCUGAGGGGAUGCGUGCGGUGCAAGAGUCACCCCAGUAACAAACUCCCUUAUCGGGUGAGUCAGCAUAGAGCAGGCACACGUGUGAUGAAAAGCCAUUACCCUGGAAGCAGAGGCCUAUGCGCCAGUCUGGGAAACACAGUGGGUCCCAACCACGGUCACGUAUGAUGUCUGAGCAUCGCGGGUCUCCAAGUGGCAGGGUUGGGAGGGGUGAGGAGUAACCUGCCCUGAAGGUGCUUUUUCCAGGUUCUGUGCCGCGUGAGGAUACUCUCUGAAAAAGUCCCCCUAGCGAUAUUGACAAGCACCUCCACGUACCUCCCCCAUUCCCUGACCAGUACAGAAUUACCAAUUUAAUAAGACGCGGAAAAAAUAAAAAACCUGAUUUGUGCUGCUCUAAGGAAACCAAACUUAAAACAAAAAACAAAAAACAAAAAAAAACGGCAUGUAUAUUUUUCAUUUUUUGGCACUUAAAAAAAUUUUUAAACAUUUUAUUGGAAGACAGUUGACUGGAGAAGCUGCAUUCAUUUCAGGUGUACAGAAAAAGCAAAUCAGUUAUACACACAGAUUUUUUUAAAAAACAUGAUUUCUUUGACUGAUCAGCUAGAAUGCUGCCCGAUGGACUAAAUCCAUACGGCGGCCAGCUCCCUGGAUUUAUUGAGCUCUUUGGCUUUAGUGAUCGUGACCUGAACUUCUGGACCUUCUCCUGACCCCACAGCAACAGCCUUACUGCUACACGAGUCCAAACCUAUUAGCCUGGCUGCCUCACGCACGUGCCAAGGCGCUUCCAUCAUCCGUAUCCAACCCCAAUGCGGGGCCAGUGCUCCUCCC
rnacentral:lncRNA from 1 species